CCCUUAGAUGUUCUGGGCCGCACGCGCGCUACACUGACGAAUGCAACGAGCUUAUAACCUUGGCCGAAAGGUCUGGGUAAUCUCCAAAUUUCGUCGUGAUGGGGAUAGAUUAUUGCAAUUAUUAAUCUCCAACGAGGAAUGCCUAGUAAGCGCAAGUCAUCAGCUUGCGUUGAUUACGUCCCUGCCCUUUGUACACACCGCCCGUCGCUCCUACCGAUUGAAUGGUCCGGUGAAAUCUCGGGACGGCGGCUUGGUCGCUUGCGUCCGACUGCUGAAACUUGAUUAAACCAUAUCAUUUAGAGGAAGGUGAAGUCGUAACA
rnacentral:rRNA from 1 species